AACAAAAUGCCUGAUAAAAGGAUUAUUUUGAUAGAAUAAAUUAUGUAAUUUUAAUUACUUUUGUUA
rnacentral:tRNA from 1 species